rnacentral:rRNA from 1 species
UACAGAGGUCUCAAGCGUUGUUCGGAUUCAUUGGGCGUAAAGGGUGCGUAGGCGGCGCGGUAAGUCGGGUGUGAAAUCUCGGAGCUUAACUCCGAAACUGCAUUCGAUACUGCCGUGCUUGAGGACUGGAGAGGAGACUGGAAUUUACGGUGUAGCAGUGAAAUGCGUAGAUAUCGUAAGGAAGACCAGUGGCGAAGGCGGGUCUCUGGACAGUUCCUGACGCUGAGGCACGAAGGCCAGGGAGCAAACGGG